rnacentral:rRNA from 1 species
GGUAGGACUACCCGCUGAA